UGGGGAAUCUUCCGCAAUGGGCGAAAGCCUGACGGAGCAACGCCGCGUGAAUGAAGAAGGCCUUCGGGUCGUAAAGUUCUGUCAUUUGGGAAGAAGUCUCUAUAUGUGAAUAAUGUAUAGAGGUGACGGUACCAAAGGAGGAAGCUCCGGCUAACUACGUGCCAGCAGCCGCGGUAAUACGUAGGGAGCGAGCGUUGUCCGGAAUUACUGGGCGUAAAGGGCGCGUAGGCGGGAAAUUAAGUCAGGUGUGAAAACUCCGAGCUCAACUUGGAGAUUGCACUUGAAACUGGUAUUCUUGAGGGCAGGAGAGGAAAGUGGAAUUCCUAGUGUAGCGGUGAAAUGCGUAGAUAUUAGGAGGAACACCAGUGGCGAAGGCGACUUUCUGGACUGCACCUGACGCUGAGGCGCGAAAGCGUGGGUAGCGAACGGG
rnacentral:rRNA from 1 species